UGCUUUUCAGUUAAAGUGGAGUUUUCUUGUUUGUUAGGGUGACUUCAGGUGAUGGACCGGCAAGGAGGAAUUCAAACACACUGUGAUCAUCGUUGGCAAGGAAUUAAAGGAGUCCACCAACUCAGCCUCAGAAUGAAGACAAUACUUCUUCAUUUCAGACUCAGCAAAGCAUAUUUCAGACUCAGUCUUUUAUGCUGGAAGCUCACGGAUCAGCCUCCUCAUGCUGCCCUGCCUACCAGCUUGUCUGGAAACCUCCUUCUGCUGCACUGCAAUUAAGCACAGAACUUUUUCUCAUGCUCAAGAUUAUAAUGCACCUCCUGGGUAAGGAAAGCCCCACUGUGCUGCCAGGACUUUCACGGAAGCUGAACGAGGGACAUCAAUUAUGAAUACGACUCUCACCAAGGCUGUCACCAGCUUUUCACCGGGGUCAGAUAAUGCUUUAAGCUGUGCUCCAUGUGCAGAGAUCUCCUGAUAUCAGGAGCUGGCCUAUGGUGCUCCUCCAC
rnacentral:lncRNA from 1 species